rnacentral:lncRNA from 1 species
AUGAUGGUGAUUACCCCAAUAAUUAUGUUUAUCCCAACAACUAUCAUCAGGAUUGGGGGUAUCACCCGGAUUUUUCAUGGAAUAUCAAUCAAGAUCAAUUUUAUGCUCCAAGUCUAACAUACCCACCGGAUUUCUCGUGUCCACCUCCACUACAACAGGAAGAACAUUCAAAUUGGGAGGAAGCCUUGGAAAAAGUUAUUAAAGCUUCUGAAAAGAAACACGAAGAACAUGAAAAGAAACUUAAUCAAAUGGAGCUGAGUAUACAAAGUCAGAAUGCAUCGAUCAAGAAUCUGGAAAAUCAAUUGGGGCAGAUAGCACAUGCGUUGAACAAUCGUCCUCAAUACACUUGGAUCUAUGACAUAAAUUCUAAGACUGAUGGUGAGCCCGAACCAAAUCUGCAACUGGAUGUGCCAAAUGAUAUAGAUGUUGAAAGAGAGGAAAGACUUGGGGACCAAGAAAAAGAGAUCGACAAAGAUCUAACUUUGAGUACCAACGAAGAUGAGCCAAUUUCAUUAGUAUCCCAUGUGCUUCCUCCACCAAAGUUCAAGAAUCCGGGCAGUUUUGCAAAACCAUGCCCAAUUGGAAGUCAU